rnacentral:rRNA from 1 species
AGCUCCAAUAGCGUAUAUUAAAGUUGCUGCAGUUAAAAAGCUCGUAGUUGCAUUUCCGAGGCAAGGGAUUAGUCCGACCUUUGGUGGGUAUUUAAUCCUCUUGCCUCGUCCUUGAGUGGUGCUUCUUGGUAUUAAGUUAUCGAGGAGAUAGCCGCUCAUCGUUUACUGUGAGAAAAUUAGAGUGUUCAAAGCAGGCUUAUGCCGUUGAAUAUAUUAGCAUGGAAUAAUAAGAUAGGGCCUCGGGACUAUUUUGUUGGUUUGAGAACCAAGGUAAUGAUGAAUAGGGACAGUUGGGGGUAUUCGUAUUCAGUUGUCAGAGGUGAAAUUCUUAGAUUUACGGAAGACGAACUACUGCGAAAGCAUUUACCAAGGAUGUUUUCA